GACGAACGCUGGCGGCGUGCCUAAUACAUGCAAGUUGAGCGAUGAAGAUUGGUGCUUGCACCAAUUUGAAGAGCAGCGAACGGGUGAGUAACGCGUGGGGAAUCUGCCUUUGAGCGGGGGACAACAUUUGGAAACGAAUGCUAAUACCGCAUAACAACUUUAAACAUAAGUUUUAAGUUUGAAAGAUGCAAUUGCAUCACUCAAAGAUGAUCCCGCGUUGUAUUAGCUAGUUGGUGAGGUAAAGGCUCACCAAGGCGAUGAUACAUAGCCGACCUGAGAGGGUGAUCGGCCACAUUGGGACUGAGACACGGCCCAAACUCCUACGGGAGGCAGCAGUAGGGAAACUUCGGCAAUGGACGAAAGUCUGACCGAGCAACGCCGCGGGAGUGAAGAAGGUUUUCGGAUCGUAAAACUCUGUUGGUAGAGAAGAACGUUGGUGAGAGUGGAAAGCUCAUCAAGUGACGGUAACUACCCAGAAAGGGACGGCUAACUACGUG
rnacentral:rRNA from 1 species